UGGUUCUGGCAUCGAUGAAGAACGCAGCGAAAUGCGAUAAGUAAUGCGAAUUGCAGAAUCCGUGAGUCAUCGAAUCUUUGAACGCACAUUGCGCCCUUUGGUAUUCCGAAGGGCAUGCCUGUUCGAGCGUCAUUAUCACCUCUCAAGCCUGGCUUGCUGUUGGACUUUAGGUAUUGCGUCAGCAUAACCAGCCCCAAAGAUAAUGACGGCGUCUGUGAAGACCCUAGUACACUGAGCUAUUCAUUUGGCACGUAUUAGAGGGAGUCCAGGCCCGGUCUUUACUUAUUUUUCUUAAGGUUGACCUCGGAUCAGGUAGGAAUACCCGCUGA
rnacentral:misc_RNA from 1 species